ACCAGAAAGUUAUGUUGCCAAUAGUACAUCCCCACAUUGUGGAAUGGAAAUCUGUAUUGUAUUCAGCAGGAGAAUCAGCUGUUCGUGUUGCCGCCUUGGGCCCUUCAAGUACGUCUUGCAAAGGGUGUGAAAGCGUUUGGCAGCCCCAUGGGCGCCAGCCUCAGAAUUGCAGAGACCAUGGAAUGCAGGUAUCAAAGAAAGCAGCAGUUCAUUAGAUGAAGAUUGAUGAAGGUGGAGACACAAUGGUCCCACUUGCAUCUGUCUUUAAUUGCUUGUCUCCUACCCAGACACCAUCUUUCUCGAACGGCAAUUCUGGAUCUGAGCUGAGGAUAAGAUAUGAGAGGAUGCAGCAGAGGGCCUUGAAGUCCCAUCGGCUAGGCUGAGUAGUCUUGUCUCUGUUGGAUUAUUUAUUUAUUUUUGAAAACUGGUAUUGAAUAAUGGUUGGUACUUGCUGCCAUAUGCAAAUGCCGGUGAGUCGAUACCAAUCCACGCUUCACAAAUUUCAGCCAUGUCUCGUGUCCAUAGAAAUCCACGCUUCACAAAUUUCAGCCAUGUUUCUUGUGUUUCAUAACCAGGUUUUUCAUUUAUUUUGCCUUUGGAGGCGUACAGUUGAGCAGUAGAUUUGGAUUUAAUAGAAUUUGAUGAAACUUUUGAGUUAUGUUUGAAAGUUUGGAUUUUAGAUUUUGAAUUUUGAAUUUAAAACUCAUCUGACCUUGAAUGAAAUUUCAAAUUUGGUAU